rnacentral:rRNA from 1 species
AGGGUUCGAUUCUGGCUCAGGAUGAACGCUGGCGGCGUGCUUAACACAUGCAAGUCGAACGAAUUACUUUAAAAGAAGUCUUCGGAUGGAAAUAAAGUAGUUAGUGGCGGACGGGUGAGUAACGCGUGGGAAACCUGCCCUAUACAGGGGGAUAGCCUCGGGAAACCGGGAUUAAUACCCCAUAAAGCUCUAGAAUCGCAUGAUUCAAGAGUCAAAACUCCGGUGGUAUAGGAUGGUCCCGCGUCCCAUUAGCUAGUUGGUGAGGUAACGGCCCACCAAGGCGACGAUGGGUAGCCGGCCUGAGAGGGUGAACGGCCACACUGGAACUGAGACACGGUCCAGACUCCUACGGGAGGCAGCAGUGGGGAAUAUUGCACAAUGGGGGGAAACCCUGAUGCAGCGACGCUGCGUGAGCGAAGAAGGCCUUCGGGUCGUAAAGCUCUGUCCUAAGGGAAGAAAAAGACGGUACCUUAGGAGGAAGCCCCGGCUAACUACGUGCCAGCCGCAGC